AAUGGACUUAAACUGGAAGUAGUCUGAGGACUCAAAGUGUUGACUGAGAUGCAUCUUUCCCCAGAGGGUCUGGAUUGUAUUGCUGUGGCCACUUUUAGCAGCAUCAUCCCUAGGGGUGCAUAAUCCCUGACACUUGCCCUGCCUUUUCUGGACGUGCCUGGAUACUGGAGCCAUCACUGCUGGGAAGUCACCGUCCAGCCACGGUGGAAAGGAAGGGAGGUGACCUUCCCCAGGUCACUCCGUGAGCUUAUGGCUGCUCUUCUCUCUCCCACUCAUCCUUUAUGAACUCACUGACCAGCAAGUUCCUCAGGGAACCAAAGUUCCUCGGCUGCUCUCCGUCCUGUGAAUAGCUGAAAACUGUGUUUGCGUGGUGAAGGCAGUGGAUACGAUUUCUAAAUUUCCUUUCACAGUGGUGCUCACCUGUGUGACAGCUGCCUGGCUCGUCAAGAGAACACUUGCUUUCCUUGCAAACUCACACCUCCUCCCCCUAUCCCUUGCCCUUGCUUGUACAGAGCAAUCAAAUAAAAAGGGUCUAAUGCAA